AUUGAACGCUGGCGGCAUGCCUUACACAUGCAAGUCGAACGGCAGCACGGGAGCAAUCCUGGUGGCGAGUGGCGAACGGGUGAGUAAUAUAUCGGAACGUGCCCAGUCGUGGGGGAUAACGUAGCGAAAGUUACGCUAAUACCGCAUACGAUCUAAGGAUGAAAGCGGGGGAUCGCAAGGCCUCGCGCGAUUGGAGCGGCCGAUAUCAGAUGAGGUAGUUGGUGGGGUAAAGGCGCACCAAGCCAACGAUCUGUAGCUGGUUUGAGAGGACGACCAGCCACACUGGAACUGAGACACGGUCCAGACUCCUACGGGAGGCAGCAGUGGGGAAUUUUGGACAAUGGACGCAAGUCUGAUCCAGCCAUUCCGCGUGCAGGAUGAAGGCCCUCGGGUUGUAAACUGCUUUUGUAUGGAACGAAAAGGUCUCUCUUAAUACGGGGGACUCAUGGCGGUACCGUAAGAAUAAGCACCGGCUAACUACGUGCCAGCCGCCGCGGUAA
rnacentral:rRNA from 1 species